rnacentral:rRNA from 1 species
AGCGAACGUUAGCGGCGCGCCUAACACAUGCAAGUCGCACGAGAAAGGGAGCAAUCCCCGGUACAGUGGCGCACGGGUGAGUAACACGUAGAUGACCUUCCCUGGAGUGGUGGAUAACCUGCCGAAAGGCGGGCUAAUACAGCAUGGGACCACAUGGUUUUGACCGAGUGGUGAAAGCGGGCCUCUGUUCACAAGCUCGCGCUCUGGGAUGGGUCUGCGUCCCAUCAGCUAGUUGGUGAGGUAAUGGCUCACCAAGGCAUCGACGGGUAGCUGGUCUGAGAGGAUGACCAGCCACACUGGAACUGAGACACGGUCCAGACUCCUACGGGAGCAGCAGUGGGAAUCUUGCGCAAUGGGCGAAAGCCUGACGCAGCGACGCCGCGUGGGUGAUGAAGGCCUC